AUUGAACGCUGGCGGCAUGCUUUACACAUGCAAGUCGGACGGCAGCACAGAGAAGCUUGCUUCUUGGGUGGCGAGUGGCGAACGGGUGAGUAACAUAUCGGAACGUACCGAGCAGUGGGGGAUAACUAAUCGAAAGAUUAGCUAAUACCGCAUAUCUUCUGAGGAAGAAAGCAGGGGACCAUUUGGCCUUGCGCUGUUUGGGCGGCCGAUAUCUGAUUAGCUAGUUGGUGGGGUAAAGGCCUACCAAGGCGACGAUCAGUAGCGGGUCUGAGAGGAUGAUCCGCCACACUGGGACUGAGACACGGCCCAGACUCCUACGGGAGGCAGCAGUGGGGAAUUUUGGACAAUGGGCGCAAGCCUGAUCCAGCCAUGCCGCGUGUCUGAAGAAGGCCUUCGGGUUGUAAAGGACUUUUGUCAGGGAAGAAAAGGGCGGGGUUAAUACCCCUGUCUGAUGACGGUACCUGAAGAAUAAGCACCGGCUAACUACGUG
rnacentral:rRNA from 1 species